rnacentral:rRNA from 1 species
UGAUGACGAGACGCUAAGGCGUUGAAGCAGUGUAUGUCAGACUUCCAAGAAAAGCUCGCAAUGUCACAAAUGAAAAAUGCCUGUACCAUAACCGACACAGGUGGGUAGGUAGAGUACACUAAGGGGCGCGAGAUAACUCUCUCUAAGGAACUCGGCAAAAUGACUCCGUAACUUCGGGAGAAGGAGUGCCUUAUUUAUAAGGUUGCAAUAACAAGAUCCAAGCAACUGUUUAUCAAAAACACAGGUCUCCGCUAAGUCGUAAGACGAUGUAUGGGGGCUGACGCCUGCCCAGUGCCAGAAGGUUAAAGAAGUUGGUUAGUGUAUGCGAAGCUGAUGACUGAAGCCCUGGUGAACGGCGGCCGUAACAAUAACGGUCCUAAGGUAGCGAAAUUCCUUGUCGGGUAAGUUCCGACCCGCACGAAAGGCGUAAUGAUUUGGAUACUGUCUCGGAGAGAGGCUCGGUGAAAUAGACUUGUCUGUGAAGAUGCGGACUACCUGCACCAGGACAGAAAGACCCUAUGAAGCUUUACUGUAACUUGAAAUUGGAAUUGGACUUUGCUUGCGCAGUAUAGGUGGGAAGCGUUGAAAAUAUUCUUGCGGGAGUAUUGGAGCUAUCAGUGAGAUACCACUCUUGUAAUGUUAGAUUUCUAACUUUGAACCAUAAUCUGGUCAAAGAACAGUUUCAGGUGGGCAGUUUGACUGGGGCGAUCGCCUCCCAAAUGGUAACGGAGGCGUACAAAGGUUUCCUCUGAACGGAUAGAAAUCGUAUCUAGAGUGUAAAGGCAUAAGGAAGCUUGACUGUGAGACCUACAAGUCGAGCAGGGACGAAAGUCGGUCUUAGUGAUCUGACGGUACUGAGUGGAAAGGCCGUCACUCAACGGAUAAAAGUUACUCUAAGGAUAACAGGCUGAUCUCCCCCAAGAGUUCACAUCGACGGGGAGGUUUGGCACCUCGAUGUCGGCUCAUCGCAUCCUGGGGCGGUGGUACGUCCCAAGGGUUGGGCUGUUCGCCCAUGAAAGCGGUACGCGAGCUGGGUUCAGAACGUCGUGAGACAGUUCGGUCCAUAUCCGGUGUAGGCGCUAGAAUAUUGAGAGGAGCCUUCUUUAGUACGAGAGGACCGAGAAGGACACACCGCUGGUGUACCAGUUAUCGUGCCAACGGUAAACGCUGGGUAGCUAUGUGUGGAGUGGAUAACCGCUGAAAGCAUCUAAGUGGGAAGCCCACCUCGAGAUGAGUA